AUGCAUCCAUAACAUGUAUAUUAGUCAUCUCAUUGAUUUUAGACUGGUACGCGCGUAGCUGACAAUAGAACUCAGCAUUUUUGGCUUAUUUGUACUAUCUUUCAGAGGUGUACUCCAUUUCUUCUCUUGUACGUACGUACUGCAACAAUGCUUGUACAUAUAUGUAACCUGCACCAGAAUAAUACAAUCAACUCAUACAUCAAAACUCCUUCUCCCUCUUUGUUAAGCAGCUAGCCAAGCCAAGCGGAUGUACUGCAUGAGCUCUCGAUCAGUUAAUUACUAUCCACUUUGCCCAGACCUAAAAGUUUGAAACACUGUGACCCCAUCACAAUUUUGCUUCAAGUUUUCAAGGAUAUGGCAUGGACUGGGUCGGCCAGCUACUUAUAGCUUCAAUCGGCCAUCACUUACAGGUACAUCAUAUUCUUUUUUCUUUUCUGCAAGCUGAUGAAGCUCAAUAUAUGAUAUUAAGUCUGGUAAUUUACUUGAGAUGUCGAGGUGAAAUAUUAUGUUCGAAGGUUGAAGGUUCCUUGACAAGAUCAGAAUUAAAUAUAUGUAACCAUUGAGCAGUGUCGAUCUCAUAUAUGAUAUAUCCCCGUGGUAGAAGAGACCACCCCGAUAACACCUCCACCACCGUCACCAUAUUUGUCCUUGACGAUCGAUCAGUACGUACACACUAACAACGUGAAAAUAUAAUAAGAAAAAACCGGUAUUAAGCAAUAAUUGGUACAAAAAUUCAACUAAAACCUCCCUUAUUUUUUGGUAAUCAAGAACGUGAAUUUUCAGAGAUGUGAUAAAAUUAAGAGAACCUCAUGCAUGGCAUGCGCGCAAAUUAAAAAACUACCAGCGUGGUAUUCAUGCAUGAAUAAAAAAUAAAAAAAUAAAAAAUAGAAACUGGGUAAGUUUAUUAUUAAUACUUUUGGAGCUAGCUAGGGCUAGCAAAGAUAUCACGUAUCACCGUGAAGGCCUCGUCUUCUAACUCUUUUUCUGGCUGUGAGCCCUGGAUGUAUAUAUACAUGUAUUAGUUUAUGUAAUAGUGUGAUAAUGUAACCAGUGUUGAAGUUUAAAUUACUGUUAGUUGAAUCGAGCGUAUAUUCUCUGCUAGCUGUGUUUUGGGGCAACCCAAUCAUACUACCCGACCUUCUAACUUUUUAUCUGGCUUUAUUGUUUUAGGUUAUAUCAAAACAAUCAAAUGGAGUUUGAUCGUGCGUUACCAGGACAAGCACUUUAGCCGAUGAAAAAGUUUUGUCGGUCUGUUAGCUUAAUUCGUCGGCUAAGAUCUUACCCGACGAUCCUUCGUUGGCUAUAGUUUCGUCGGAAAAGGGUGGAAUAUUGUUGCACACUAGAACGAGAAGGUUUCUUAAGAAUGUAUCUUUCUUAAUUAAGACAAAAUGUUACCAAUUGAUUUGAGUUAUAAAUCUCACUCUCAAUUUGGGUUAAUGUUUGAAUUCUUCUUGAGUGGAUUUGGAAUCAGUAAUGUUUAAAGAGGUUGUAAAAUAUUGAUAUGUGAUGAAUCUCGUUGACCAUCUGGAUUUGUCGACACAACACCUCGAUCAUGGGAUCGUGGCCUCAUGGGUGUUCACGUAUGUGGCUCCAGAUCAAUACACAUGAAAUCAAAUUAUUUUUGGUCUCAAUAAAACUUAAUUAAUAAGGCCACUAAGGCAGGAGAAACAUUACAAAGCUAGAAAACUAGAAAGAAACAAGAGCAUCUCCACUUGUGUAAGUAAAAUUAUAGUUAAAUUUAACUACAGUUAUUGAUUAUUGAAUUUAUUCCAACAAUUAUUUUUAUGUGUAAGUUAUGUGAGAUUUUUAACGAAUCAUAAACUGACACGUGGAUAAAAAAAAGGAGAAAAUAUAAGAUUUCCUUUAGACCCCCAAAAAUGCAGAUGAUGAACAUACCCUAGCUAGAAAAGAAAUCUGUGCAAAUGAGUUGAGUUUUUUGUUUUUG
rnacentral:lncRNA from 1 species